UGGGGAAUAUUGCACAAUGGGCGCAAGCCUGAUGCAGCCAUGCCGCGUGUGUGAAGAAGGCCUUCGGGUUGUAAAGCACUUUCAGCGAGGAGGAAGGGUGGUGUGUUAAUAGCACAUCACAUUGACGUUACUCGCAGAAGAAGCACCGGCUAACUCCGUGCCAGCAGCCGCGGUAAUACGGAGGGUGCAAGCGUUAAUCGGAAUUACUGGGCGUAAAGCGCACGCAGGCGGUUUGUUAAGUCAGAUGUGAAAUCCCCGCGCUUAACGUGGGAACUGCAUUUGAAACUGGCAAGCUAGAGUCUUGUAGAGGGGGGUAGAAUUCCAGGUGUAGCGGUGAAAUGCGUAGAGAUCUGGAGGAAUACCGGUGGCGAAGGCGGCCCCCUGGACAAAGACUGACUCUCAGGUGCGAAAGCGUGGGGAGCAAACA
rnacentral:rRNA from 1 species